rnacentral:lncRNA from 1 species
GGAGCCAAUAGACUUGCUCAAAGAAUUGUCACAGACCUUCAAUUUGGAAAAAAAAAAAAAUGCAAUUAUCUCCUAAGUGUGAUAAAAGUAUGUCUGUAUUGAUUAGAUCAGUGAAUAAAAAUGGAGGAGUUUGGGCCCCCACCACUCCUCCCUUCCCCCGCAGUGGUACCUGAGGUAGCCCUGCAAUGUUCAGCCUGGGGCAGAGGAAGGUGAAACAUUGGGAUCCACCCCAGAACCUCAUGGGAGAAAGUCCCCUGCAAUGUAUUACAUAUUCUCUAGGGCCAAGCUAAAUGUCUGACAACUCUCUGACAGUACCAGAGAAUUCUAACUCCCUGAGGUGGCCAAUAUCUCUGGUCCUCAUAAUAGAAUGUUUUUUAUCUCAAAUACUUCAGAAGUUAGCAUGAACUGGGAAUUCAAAUUAUGUCGUUCAGCUCUCCUAUGUUACAGAAGAGGAAACUGAUGUCCACAGAGAUUAAGCAGCUUGCCUACAAUCACCAGCUUGGUACUGGUAGAGUCCAGGCUGGACUAGGUAUUCUGAUUCAAGGUUCAUUGUUCUUUCUCCUGUAGCCCACUUUCUCUGGUGUCCUCUCUCAGUAGCCUGAGAGUGAUGUGCCUCUGUAAUAGGUUCAAUUUCUGAAGGGUAAAUGAGGCCUGUGGUACUUGCAUCCUAUUUUUGUGUUUUUGAAAUGUUAGUCACUAUGUAACUCACCACAUUUUAGGCAAAACAUUGUAUCAAAAGUUAAACGUAAGGACGCAGAAAAGUACCCCCAGAGAAUAGAUCUAGAACUGCAUGAGUUAUCGGUUGCUCAUCACUUAGUUAACAGACUGCCCCAAAUGUAGUUGCUUUAAAACACCACCAUUUUUAGCUCAUGUUCUGUGAGCAGGCAAUUUGGGUUGAGCUCAGCUGGGCAGUUCUUCUGCUGGCUCACCUGGCCCACUCACACAGCUGCAGCCAGAGCUGCAUCUCCCAGGGGCUGUUUGGUCCUCGUUUUCUGUUCACUCCCAGGAAAAAAGAGUUGAGCCUGCAAUACUUUAUCUGGUAAGACAAGUCUGCGACUGAGACAACCAAGCAGGCCAACCCUCGCUGUUCCUGGGAGAGCCACUGCCGUUCAGUGGCUCAUGGCUGAAUAAUGGGGGUGACUAGGCCACAUGUCUCCACUGUCUAGCAGCACAGCCUGGGUUUUUUCACAUGGUAGCUGGGUUCCAAAAACAUCAAGAUAGGACAAACCUCAAUGCACAAGUGAUUUUCAAACCUCCGCUUGUACUCAUGUUUACUAAUGUCUCCUUGGCCAAAGCAAGCCAAGCCAAGUUCAGAAUCAAGGAGUGAAGAAAGAGUCCAUUUCUUGAUGGAAGGAGCUGGAAAGUACUGUUGCUAUUCCCCAACCCCACCAAUCUACCACAAGGGUAGAGCUGGAUAAAUACCUACAGUAUCAUAUUCAUAUUGAGAUUAUUGUAACCACUGAUGGUUUAUCUAGUCUCUUGGGGGUGAGGGUGUGUGUGAGAGGACCCAGAAGCAGCACCUGGCUGUGAGGUGAGGGAAAACCACUAACAGCUGGCAGAAAUGCAAGCUGGAGACUCAAAACCUCUGUCACCCAGCCCAGAGCCGAGGUUCUCAUCUUAUGGGGCAGAAGGUGGGCCAACCAGGAGUAUCCCUGGAGAGAGGAAAGAUCUCUGGACACUCAGAAGCUGUGAGCGGCUUCAUUCUCCUCCAAGCUGCUUCAUACUUGCUCUCGCUUGGCAUCAUGAGAUGCUGCUUGAGAGAGAGACAGAGGGACAGUGAGAGAUCCACUCAAAAUGUAGGCUGGAUCAGGGAUGUGGCCUCUGCUCCUAAAAAUAAAGCCUGUGGAGGAAAAUGAAGGCUAAUGUACCUGGAGGUGGAACCAUAGGUCAGGUGGGCAAAGCUUUUAAAUGUACUGCCUUCUGGGUUGGGAACAGCAUGGUGACAUUCCCUGAAGCUCAAGGAGAGCUCGGCCAUCAGAAGGCAGACUGCAGAUCAAGACAGUGAUGGCCUGAGCUCACUUUCCGACCUAGUCUGACAGUCACAUCGUGUUCAGCUUCUACCUUUCUCACAUUGGUAGGCUGCAAACCAUCAAAAAGUAGAAUUUCAUAUACAAAGCCGAGUCCUUAUUCUAGAUUGCACAGGUGAUGCCCAGACAACAAGCCAACAUUUUCAGAUCCCACCGCCCAGCUUUCACCAUGGACCUGGCCUGGGAUGGUGCGGCCUCGGUGCCCACCGGGAAGGCAGAGUGGCCCAGCGUGGGCGGCAGAGGUGAGGGAGGGAACGCUGCUCUGAGGCCUUUUUCUUGUAGCUCCAGACAAAUUAAAAACCUCCUUACCAGCCAUUCAUUCUGAGGAGGCCUCUUCCUUCCUCCACAGGGGGGCUGCUGUGUUGGAAGCCGAUCGGAUUCAGGGAGGCUGGGCCUCCCGGAGCUCUCAAGGAGGGGGAGCGGCAAGAAUGGAAAGAGAGAGGCCCUAACCCUGAAGAGAUUGGCAGGCAGGGAGUGGGGGCAAAGUGCAGCCCAGGUCACUGGGAAAAAAGAAAUCUCAAAGUAAGGGAGUGGGGGAAAGUUCCACUUUCAGCCUAAUUAUGAAAGAGGCCUCGGUAGAGAGGGGCGGGGGAGCCCAAAGAAGAGAGAAAAGGGAAGUGAGAUGUUGCAGAGAGCAGAAAGAGAUUCUCAGGGGGCACAGGCUAUUGAAGGAACGCAGGCAGGGAAAGGUGCCGCCUCUUCAAACGUGGGUCUGUUAUAACUGAUUUUGAGAGACCUGGAAGCAUGUUCGCCUGGGACUCCCAAAGAGGGAGGGCAAAAUGCCCUAUUAAGGGUGGGACGAAUUGAUUUCCCAAAGAAGCACAGCACCAUUUCCUCCAAAUGCCCUCUGCAGUCCUCCUUAAUCUGCCCUGGAGGCAGCAGGUGACCUCUGCACAGGCCCCUGGAGGCGCCUUUGUUCGGGGGCAUUCUGCGGCCCGCCCCGCCCCCUCCCCUUGCACCUGGGCAGCAGCCUCAAAAUGCACUUGUCCACCCUUGGCCGGCUCCCGUGGUGGGAUGGCGGAUGCCUUUGUAUGUGAAAAGCCACGAGCCCUCCAACUCCUGUUUUCCCUUCGGCUUGACACAUUCACUAAUGUAUUUCCUGUUCACUCCCAGGAGAAAAAAAGAGUGCCUGCAAUACUUUAUCUGCUGUAACAACUUCACCAACUGUCUGGGUUCCACCCCGAGGAUUUCACUGAGAGAACACGUUAGAGGGAAUCAGGAAGCAGAAAAAAGGUCACAAAUAAGCACCUCAGGAACAAUGAAAGCUUUUCUCUAUGCAGCAGUGGGAGAGUUGCUAGAAAAACUGGAAAGGUAUUAAUCAGAAGUGGCUAUAAAUGCUCUGGAGUUUUGCUCUUAUAAAACUCCUCAGAGAAAGUCUUGAAGGAAAUGCAGGUCAAAGCCCAAAAAAGCUCUUGAUCAGAGAUUGCUGGAGGAAAAUCUUCCCAGACGCCGUUUAAUAGGCAGCAAUCACCCCAGGAGUGGGGAAGCCAAGUACGCUUGAAACAUGGUUGCAAUUCCUAAUAGGUCUUGUCACACUUAAGGCACUGCAAGCUCCAUCCAACGAACAGCUGAAGCUAGCUGGCGAUUCAUAAAGCCAACAGUUUAAAGUUUAUUAUGAUGAAAGCACUUAAUGACAGCCAUCGCUAGGGGCCCAUCAUUUAUAAAGCUGUGCUGAGUAUUAGACAUGUAGCAUGACCACCAAUUUUAUGUCACAAUUGCUACCAUAAAAUGACCUUUGGUGAUUUUUGCUGCAUGUGGUGGACAGCUCUUCCUUCACAUUAGUGCUCUGUGGCUUUCUUUGCAGACUAUUAUGCUGUCUAAAGCUUAUUUGGCACUGUCGUGAGCCUCAACCCUUGCUAUUACCCCGAAGGCCUGUCUUAAAAAAAAAAAUCUCAUGCUCUAUUACGCCACUCCAAUAAUUUACAGUUCUUACCAGCCUUGGUUAGCGUAAUAUUUUAAUGCAAAUAUGCUUUACCAUUGGAUUUUAUUUUAAGCACACACACACACACACACACACACACACACAAUUUCCCAUGCUUCUGGCUAGCAAAAUAUCCAUUUUAUGGGAGUUCACUGAAAUCGGCCUCUUAUUCUCUGGUCAGGUCUCACUGAUUGAGCACUGUUUCCUCUGGGUCAGUUAAAACAUCACCAGAAAAAAAAAAAAAAAAAAAGGGUUACUUAAACUUCUGUUGAGAUUUUUUUUUUUAAGAUCCUAUACAUGAUAAACCCACUUAAGGCAGAAACACCAAUUCUUAUUUCCCUGCAUCCAGUCGCAAUGCAAAUUGACAUUUGAGUAACAUUAUUUAAUUAGGCUUCCAUUUUUCCACCUUCUUUGUGUAGUUAGGAAAUGUUUGAAUACAUGCCAGUUUACUGCUCCAAUGUAAACUGCUGCUAAGAAAGUGGUCUGUCCACGCUACACCACCUUUAAAUUGUGUAUAUAAUUUUAUAAAUGAUAUAAAAUCUGCUUCUAGCCCUGAGGAAAAAACAAACCAUAAGCAUGGCACACUGCAAUUUUGGAAGGAUUUAAAAUAUGUGAUUUCUGCUGGUACCUACUGUAUUGGGUUUUAUAUAAAGCUUUUUUCAAUAAGGUAAAUUGUUACAUGACAAACUCAUCUUCCACCAUUAUCAUCUGCUGUUUGUGUUUAACAACAGGAGUCCCGCUCUAACAAAACUGUUGUAAUGGCUGUACAAAUUACUCAGCUGAAAGCUUUUCACCAAACAAAACAGUAUUAAUCAGCAGUUCUUAUGAAGGUGCUAAUUAAAAACAAUUUUCUUCCUCAGUUUGCAAUACUAAAGCCAUCUUCACUUGCACAGUUUCCAAUAUACAGCUACUGUAUUUGCUCACACUUCAGGCCCUCUAUUAACUAUUGAAUCUCCUAUUAGCCAUUUUAUUACAUUUCUGUUUACAAGCUUGUUGACAUUUUAAAAGUCACGGUAUGAUCUGUUUUAUCUGUUAAAAAAUGUAUUAAUUGAAAAGUCAGGGGGACAAAAAAAGCAAAAUACAGACUCCAAAUGCACAGACUUCCAGGGCAGAGAACACUGUGAGCAUUUAGCCACAGCCUGGAAGGUAAGCUCUCUGGGUAAAAUGAAAUGUGAGAAUUAAAAGUGGCAUUUCAGGCUUAAUGGUUUGAUAAACACUAACAGGAUCCUUCCUAAUUUGGAAGUAGUCCACUCAGGAAAACAUAUUUACCCUGCCUAAAAUCAGCCUGACUUUCAAAUCCAUUUUUUCUUUAUGGUAUACAAUCAACAUAAUUAUGAUGUUUCAUACAGCCUGAACUCAGGGGAUUUUGAUCUAGGGUGGGGAUGUACCUGGAAUCUGGCGGCUGGAGCCCAGAUCUCGGGUCUAAAUAGCUUAAUCUUUCCUGUGAGUGUGUGUGUGUAUAUGCUUGUACAUAUACUUUGACUCUCUCCCCUAUGUGGGCAUUCUGCCCCACCCCCAGAGUCCAGUGAGAGGUUCUUGCCAGACAAUGCUAAUGAAUUGUCUGGCAUAGAUUGGAAACAAGUCAAAUGCUGACUAAGCACAAAGAAAAUCCAUGGAAGCUAGGUUCCUAUUAAAAAACAAAAACCACCUAACCCUCAUGAGCAGGUUGCCCCACUUUGGUAGCAGAGAGAUGGAAAAAAACACCACUACCUCCUGCCUCUGGUAUUAAAACCAGGUUCUUCAGCUGUCAAAAGCAGUUAACUAGUUUAGGACAGACACCUGGCUGUUGAAAUAGGGCUCCAGAGGGCAACUAAUCCUUCCAUUCACUCAGUUAACUGCUGGAUCCCCCAAAUUGAUUCAACAGGUAUGCAGUGGUAAAUUCAGCCCAUACUGAAGCCAAAGGGAAAAUCAGCAAGGGGCGGGCAGCUCUUCUCUGAAAACACCCGAGGAACUAGCCAGAAAAGCUUUUAUGGCCCUGACAAGUUUUCUGCUGAAUACUGAGCACCUAAAUUACCCUUCCCUAAUGGAAGUUACAUUUUCAUGCUCAGUCAAAAAGCCAACAAAAUACACAAUUUAUACAAAAUAGCAUCAACCUCUUAGGUAGUCUUUUCUAGCACUUUUAUCCCAAUUCAUGGCAUAUGUCUUGCUAUAAAGUAAAAUAUAUUUCUUAUAACCAACUUGUAUGUAGCUAUUCAUCUCACAGCAUUAGAACUGACCACGGGCAAUAUUAGAAACAUUCUUUCAUCCAACCAAAUCUACUUAGUAUGACAAAGGAAAAUCAUGAGUUUUAUCAGAAGAUAAAGGUACACAAAGAAAAGAAAUAUUAUUCUUAGGAUUUCCUAAGCAGACAGGCUUCCUUUCUGAAACAAACACAUGCAUAAUUACAUAGGCAAUUAUGGAAUGGGCCAUUUCAAUUGCAAUUGACUCAUAGAAAUAAUCAUAAAGUUCAAAAGAAAUGUAAAUGGACAAACUUUCAAAGCUGCUCUAUUUCACUUUUCAGUAUCGGCAUUCCAUUAAACUUCGGGAAAAUAAAAACUAAAAUUAUUCAAUAAUAUAGAACAUUUCUUACAAACUUUCAAAGAACCUGGACUACAGAGAUUUCCAGGUGAGGAUCCCAUGAAGAGCAGAUCUAGGAAACCCUUAACAUUGUAUAGGAGAUUCUCUAGGUUUUAAUUACAUAAUAAGUGAAUUUCCUUACUACGUAUCUCUUGGUAGCAACAGUUCAAUUCUGAAACACUGUUCUCAGAUAUUUAAAAAAAUACAUUCCUAGUUUACUUUUUAAAAUAUAGUAUCUCCCAGAGACAUAAACACUGGAUUUCUCCACCCACAACACACAAAUACAAAUUGAAUUCUUGCCAAUUCACGUAUUUUCUUGAGAGAAAAAAGAAAAUAUUCUCAUAGUCCUGCUGUUCCAUAUUUAAAAAGAAAAAAGAAUAGACCAUCUUAGGUGCUACUACAGGGAUGCGUUUUCUUUGUCUGGCAGAGUUAGUUGCAGGUUUUACACAGGAAAUAAUUUUGCUGUAUUUUCACCAGUAUAAAUGGAAUGGCUUGUGUUGCCUUUUAAAACAUGCCAAAUUCUAAUUUUUAAACAAGAAAAUAUGAAGCCAGUGUGCAACCUAUACAGUCACCAAAGGAGAGCUGCCACUAGCUGAACUACUCAGCUAAAUGGCUGGUUUGCAUUGCCCUGGUCUUUAUCUAGCACUGAGAAUAGACUGCUGUUUUAUCCAAAGAGGAAUAAAUUGCUGUUAUUGUGAUGUUAGCCCAUCACUUGGCAUUGCAAUUCAAGUUUUUGUGAGAAAGAAAUGUAUGAUCUAACUGCGACUUGACCUAUGCCUUCUGAGAUCCAUCUAGGUGCUCUAAUGGAGCAGAAAAAGUGGUGAAUACAAGGACAUGCAAACUGAUGGUGAAAAAUUUGUUUGAUGAUAGAAGUGAGCAGAGAAGACAUUUGAGAGUCGCUGCUUUUAUGACAGCUAAGUUUGUUUAACAUGCAAAAGGAUGCACCCCCAGUCUCUCACCUAUCACUUUAAUUGUAUCACACUGAAUACAUGUUUUUGCCUGUACUAAAGACAUGAGGAUAUAUAGCUAACCUACUAAUGACAUUACUGCUAAAGUGGGCACAGAUGAUUCCUUACAGAUAAACAUCUGAAUUUCCACAAAAGGCAUUAGAGCAUCUCAUGGAUGCACUAGGCAAGGAUAAGCUUGGGUUCCCUGCAGAAAAGUCAUUCUCUCUUAAUCCUAGGUAGCACCUAUUAAAUGUUUACCAUACACUUGAAUCACAGCAUAUAACAAUAUAUACUUAUUUUAAAUAAGAUAAUUGUGUGAUUGAGUUUUUAAAAAACUCCCCCUGGUUGCAAUCUGGUUUAUCAACCAUUUACUCAAAAUUUCUCUGGGAAGGACCUAUUUUGAAAGAGGCCUGGAGAACAGCAGCAGUUAGAUUUAAGCCCUGAUAAAGGCUCACUUUUCAUUCAUAGUCAGAGCCUAAAUGUGCUCUUCUUGUACCUAAACAGAUAAUAAGCACUCAGCACACUCCCCCUCCUUGACACAGCACACUGAGACUAAUCACACAUAAUUGGGGAGGAGGAGCAGAGGGCUGGCCACGCUAUUGUGUCCAGAGGACAAACGGUCAGUUUAUGAGGCUUUGGGCUGAUGUAGUCAUUUCUUAUACAUCUAUAGGAAAAAAAACAUACUGUUUAAAAGGAAAAAAAGAAGGAGAGAGAGGGACAGAGAAAGGGAUGGCGGAUUUAAUACAAUUAAUUGGAGGGAGAUAAAAAGAUACACUUUAUUUAUUUUUCUAACCAGGAAAGAAUCAUGAUAUUUGCUGGGUUUACUGAUUAAAAACUACCACCACCAAAACAGAACAAAGACCAAAAAAAAAAAAAAAAUGAAGGAGGGAUGGG